UACAGAGGGGGCUAGCGUUGUUCGGAAUCACUGGGUGUAAAGGGUGCGUAGGCGGUCGGUUAAGUCUGAUGUGAAAUCCCUCGGCUCAACUGGGGAACUGCAUUGGAAACUAGCCGGCUGGAGUACCGGAGAGGGAAGCGGAAUUCCUGGUGUAGCGGUGAAAUGCGUAGAUACCAGGAGGAACACCGGUGGCGAAGGCGGCUUCCUGGCCGAGUACUGACGCUGAGGCACGAAAGCGUGGGGAGCGAACGGG
rnacentral:rRNA from 1 species